GACGAACGCUGGCGGCGUGCUUAACACAUGCAAGUCGAACGGAAAGGCCCUGCUUUUGUGGUGUGCUCGAGUGGCGAACGGGUGAGUAACACGUGUGUAACCUGCCCUUGACUUUGGUAUAACUUCAGGAAACGGGGGCUAAUACCGGAUAGGAGCUCCUGCUGCGUGGUGGGGGUUGGAAAGUUUCGGCGGUUGGGGAUGGGCUCGCGGCUUAUCAGCUUGGUGGUGGGGUAGGGGCUUACCAAGGCUUUGACGGGUAGGCGGCCUGAGAGGGGGGGCGGCAUCAUGGCGACUGAGAGACGGAGCAGACUCCUAGGGGAGGCAGUAGGGGAGAAUAUUGCACAGGGGGCGGACGCAUGAUGCGGCGACGCCGGGGGCGUGAUGACGGUCUGCUGGUUGACACCCGCUUGCGCCUAUGACGCAGCGGGGGUGACGGUAAUGGGUGAAGAAGCACCGGCUAACUACGUG
rnacentral:rRNA from 1 species